GAAGGAUAGGUUAUAAGCGAAUGGCGGAUGCCUUGGGAUAUUGAUGCGAAGAAGGACGUGGCGUGCCUGCGAUAAGCAUCGGGGAGGUGGCUAGCAACCUUUGAUCCGGUGAUUUCCGAAUGAGGAAACUCAAUACUGGUAAUUCAGUAUUACGUCCCGCUUUUAGCGGGAUGAGCGCACCCGGUGAAGUAAAACAUUUCAGUAGCCGGAGGAACAGAGAACGAAGUUAUUCCCUCAGUAGCGGCGAGCGAACAGGGAACAGCCCAAACCAAUUUUUUAAUUGGGGUUGCAAGGUUAUAGCGUCGGGAGCACUAUUUGCGUCUCACCUACGUUCGACGAAUUUUUAAAUUUUUAUAAUUUUUGAAAUUUUUAAAUUAAGAAAUUAUUUUAAGAAUUGAAAAAUUGGAAAUUAAAAAUUACGCGGCGAGCGAAGGCGAGACGCGAAUAAUGUUUGCCGAGGGAGAGCAUUUAGGUAAAAGUUUUAAAAGAAGCACUCUGGAAAGAGGCGCCAUAGGAGGUAAUAGCCCUGUAUUUAAAAAAACUUUUAUGCUCCUUGCUAUGAUUCCCGUUAGACACUGCUUAUUAGUGUGUUGAGAGGUCAAAAUUUUCUCAAAACUAAUUAGUGGGUAGUGUCUAACGGGAUAAACUUAAGUACUGUCGGGAAUGAUAACCUGGCAGGAAUCAGGCCGAACUAUCGGCCAAGGCUAAAUAAUCAAUAUCACCAAUAGUGAACCAGUACCGUGAGGGAAAGGUGAAAAGUAGGGGGUUGACCCCGGUGAAAUAGUACCUGAAACCAUUUGCUUACAAAGAGUCGGAGCCCGGCAUCCGCAAGGAUGUCUAGGGUGACGGCGUGCUUUUUGCAGAACGAGCCAACGAGUCUGGAUAUUUGAUUUGUCUAAGCCCUUAUGGGGCGAAGGCGUAGCGAAAGCGAGUGUUAAAAGCGCGUAUGGGCUCACAACAGAGUAAUUUUUCGUAACGAAAUGAAGUAAUUUUGGCGGGUCGCGAGAACUUCCCGCUGAGCGGGAGUUCCCGACCUAGCGAAAAUUUGGAAGUGCGAGGAGGUUUGCCAUUUGGCAAGCCGACGAGCAAUUACAAAUUUGUAGCCAAAAUUAUAAAUUGCAGUAGAAAAGAUUAUUCUGUUGUGAGUCCUCAUCGAAUAUUCAGGACCCGAAGCCAGACGAGCUUGCCAUGAGCAGGAUGAACCCUUGCGAAAGCGAGGGGGAGGUCCGAACUAGUGAGGCGUGCAAUCCUCUUGGAUGACUUGUGGUAAGGAGUGAAAAGCUAAUCGAGUUUGGUAAUAGCUGGUUCUUCCCGAAACAGCUUUGGGGCUGGCGUCUAUCGUCAGA
rnacentral:ncRNA from 1 species